rnacentral:rRNA from 1 species
AACGAACGCUGGCGGCACGCUUAAUACAUGCAAGUCGAACGAGAAAGUACCUUCGGGUACGAGUAAAGUGGCGAAAGGGUGAGUAAUACAUAGGUAAUUUACCCCUCAGUUUGGGAUAACACAGGGAAACUUGUGCUAAUACCGAAUACGCAGGGAGAGUCGCAUGGCUUUCCUUGGAAAGGAUGUGCAAGCAUUCACUGAGGGAGAGGCCUAUGGCCUAUCAGCUUGUUGGUGGGGUAAUGGCCUACCAAGGCGGUGACGGGUAACCGGCCUGAGAGGGUGAACGGUCACACUGGGACUGAGACACUGCCCAG